rnacentral:rRNA from 1 species
UCGCCUGUUUAUCAAAAACAUAGUUUAGUGAAAAUUAUACUAAAUGAAUUCUGCCCAGUGUUUUAAUAAAUGGCCGCAGUACCCUGACUGUGCUAAGGUAGCAUAAUCAAUUGGCUUUUAAUUGAAGUCUGGAAUGAAUGAAAUAAUGGAGGAAUGCUGUCUUAAAAGUAUUAAUUUAAAUUUAUUUAAAAGGUGAAAAUACCUUUUUUUAAAAAAAAGACGAGAAGACCCUAAGAAUUUUUAGAUUAAAAUUCAAAAUUUUAAUCUUUUUGUUGGGGCGACAGAUUAGAAAACUAAACCUAAUUUUUUAAAUUGGCGAAUUUUUUAAGUAAUAAAAAAUUACCUUAGGGAUAACAGCAUAAUAUAAAAAUUUUUAUGUUUGUGACCUCGAUGUUGGACUAGGAACUUUAUGGCUAGCAGUCAGAAAAGAUUUAUUCUGUUCGAAUAAUUUAAUCCU